GGUUCCCAAUUUCCCAAUAAAACUUUGAAACUGAUAUUCAGAAUGACAACACUGACUUACCAAGAAAAGCCAAAUUACAUAUAUUGUUUUUUAUAAUUGAGGAAAGUACAAUAAAUUAUCUUUACUCCCCCAUUCAUUUACUAAGUACAUACAAUGUACAAGAUAUUGUGCAAGAAACAAAAAUAAGGAAGACAUGGUCUUCAUGUACAUGUGACUCACAGCCUGUAAAGGGAGAUUAGGCAUGCAUAUGAACAUGCGUAAAUAGAGCAAAAAGCAAUAUGCAAUGAGAGGGAGAGUCAAGGAAGAAAAAUAUGAGGGACGAGCCAUAUAUGAAGACUUUUGAAGGCUGGGUUAGGGUCUUAAGACUUAUUUUAUUAGUUAAGUGUGAUAGUGUUUAAAAUUCUUGAGAAAGUGUAUCACAAUAAAAAAAAAAUUAACCCGGAGGUUGUAAACAGUAUAAAACAGACGGCGGAAAGACUAAGUCGGGAAAAGCAGUCAGGAGUCUAACAACAGUCCAAGGAUAGUUAAGUAUGGCUAAUCUCUGACUGUGGGAAAGGAGAGACAUAGACUGAGUUUCAGAAGUACAAGUGACAGUAUUCAAAAGUAAGGAAACUGAGACUGAAUUAGGGAAUCAGAAGUGGAAGGGAAGAGCAGUUGUGCCCAAAGGCAGACAGCUUGUUAAGUGGUAGAGUUGGGAGGUGCGCGUAAGUCAAAUGUAGAUCUGAUUACUUUACUCUCUAUAUGCGGCACCAAUUUUAUGCCAAGAAUACGGCAGUGUUUUCAUAUACAGUUUCUUGUUUAUUUCUCAGGUUGAAAUUCUUCAUAUUGUUAUAUUUGAGAUAAUUCAUAAAGGAAAGAGGUUUAUUUUGGCUCACAGUUCUGCAGACCAUACAUAUAGGAAGCAUGGUGCUGGCAUCUGCUUUUGGUGAGGGCCUUAAGAAGCUUACACUCAUGGCAGAAGGAGAAGGGGUCCAGGAAUGUCACAUGGCAAGCAAGGGAGCAAGAGAGAGCAAGGAGGAGGAGUGAAGCUCCUUUAAGCAACCAGCUCUCAUGUGAGUGAGAAGUCACUUGUUACCAUGGGGAGGGCAUCAAGCCAUUCAUGAAGAAUCCUCCCUCGUGUCCCAAACACCUCUACCAGGCCCCACCUCCAACACUGGGAAUCACAUUUCAACAUGAGAUCUUAAGGGGACAAAUAUCCAAAACAUAUCACAUUCCAAGCAUAAAGAGGACAGAAUGAAAAUGACAAGAGAAGAAUAAAAAUAGAAAAAUCAGAUAAAAUGAUAUCCAUCUAAAUUACUGACAUAAUUAGAUAUACAAGAUUGCCAUUCCUAAAAGUAAUGUUGAGGUCUGAAUAUCUGAGAUUUACUAUACUUGUUCUAGUCCAUUUCUUAUUUGGUCCAUUUGAUCAUUUUAUUAGUAAAUACAAAACACUGGAUCAUAAAAUUUACCUUGUUCAACUGGAAAAAAAUACAGUGGGAAAAGAAUGAAAAUUUUUUAAUAGUUUUUUUUUUUAAAGGAGAUCAAAUAGGUCCCUAUCAGUUUGGAUAGCAUUUUAAAAUAUUAUGAUUUCUUAUUUUAAAUUCAAGAGCUUCCUAAGUAUUUGAUAUAUCUAUCAACAGGUUGAAGUAGAUAAGUUUUCAGCCAUUAUUUUAUAAUCCAUGUCCUUAAAUUUGAACCAAGGAAGAGCCAGUGUUCUGAAGGAGGCCUGUACUAAUAAGAUUAAAGAACAGUGAAGGCAUGAAGACUCUUAAAUUCAAUGGCUCUUCAAAUACUUCAAAAGCUGCUGUGUUUGCUCAGGCACUUGAUAAAGUGUCUGUUCAAAGUAUAAGGAUUUUGAUGUAAGAAGUACUAUCAUUUAUAUCAUUCUGCACUAAACUCACUUCACUCCCACUGAUGAAGCUAAGGAAAUUUAUUGUAAGGUACAACCCUUGAGGUUUCAAAUUGAGUGACAAAAAGAAGAGUUCUCCAGUGACUAGACGACUAUAACGAUGGCAGAGCGGGUAAGUUACAAUGUAUCUUCAAAUCUAAGACAUCACCCAUUUCAAGAUGAAUUAUUUUAUAUAUCUCUAAUAAAGUGAAAAAAUAUCACUACCACAUCAAUAUUGUAAGAUACAUUCCAACUGAAGACAGGCUAAAAUGUGAAAUAAUGUAGGUUUUUGGAAUAUGAAUUUAGCAUGUUAUUUUAUAUUUAAUUCUUUAAUCAAUCCAUUCAUAUUACCAUGAUUAAAAUAAUGCCCAGGAGCUAAGUGACCCCAGGAAAGAGAAUUUAUACCGAAGGCAGAAAAUAUCAGGUUCAAAAUUCUAAGGAAUGUUUUAAUUAAUGGAAAUGUAAACAAAUGUCUGGUAGGGUAAGAACAGUUGCUGAAAAGCAAGGAGAGUUUCAUGAUUUUAGUAGUCUGAAGAGAUCUAUACAGCACAGGGCUUGCCACAAUGUUCCAACACAAUCCUUCCCUUUUUAUGUUACAUGGAUUGAAUUUUAUUUAUUGCUGGUUGUACUCCAGAAAACCUAAGGUUAUAGCUAUCUAGCAUCUCAAAUAGAUCUGUCCAUUUAUUUUAUAAACAUAGCCAAAUUAUGCCUACUUUAUUGUCCUGAAUCACAGAAAAGGCUAUGAACUACAACUUUCAGUUUCUUUCUCUAGUCUCUUUCCAAAUGCAGGAGUGGCAAAGACUUGUGAUAUAUUACUACAUAGAUAAUGUGCAGGUCUGUUAGUGUGUGGUGGAGGGGUGUCGUGGUCGGGGGGUGUGUGUCUAUGUGUGUGUGUAUUUGUGUAUCUUAUUUAGGUAAUUCUAUCUUUACUUCUGUGAUCUAGAGUACACAUUAAACUUAAGCAGUCAUCAUUAAAAAUGACAGUUCUGCUAGCUAGCCAUUUGUAGAAGACUGAAACUGGACCCUCCCUUACACCAUAUACAAAAAUUAACUCAAGAUGGAUUAAAGACUUAAAUCUAAAGCCAAAACUAUAAAAACCCUGAAAGACACCCUAGGCAAUACCAUUCAGGACACAGGCGAGGGCAAAGAUUUCAUGACGAAGACACUAAAAGCAAAAACUGACAGAUGGGAUCUAAUUAAACUAGGGAGAUUUUGCACAGAAAAAGAAAUUAUCAACAGGGUAAAUGGACAACCUACAGAAUGAGAGACAAUUUUUGCAAACUAUGCAUCUGACAAAGUUCUAAUAUUCAGCAUCUAUAAGGAACUCAAAUUUACAAGGAAAAAAACAAACACACCAACAAAAAAGUAGGCAAAGGACAUGAACAGACACUUUUCAAAAGAAGAUAUACAAGCAGCCAACAAUCAUACGAAAUAAAGCUCAACAUCACUGAUCCCUAGAGGAAUGCAAAACUACAAAGAGACACCAUCUCACACCAGGCAGAAGGGCUAUUAUUAAAAAGUCAAAAAAUAACAGAUGCUGGCGAGAUUGUGGAGAAGAAGGAACACUUAAACACCAUUAGUAGGAAAGAUAUAUUCCUACCAAUAAAUUAGUUUGAACAUUGUGGAAGACAGUGUGGUGAUUACUCAAAGACCUAAAGACAGAAAUACGAUUUAACCUAGCAAUCUCGUUACAGGGUACAUACUCAAAGGAAAAUAAUUCAGUCUAUUAUAAAGACACAUGCAGGCACAUGUUCACUGCAGCACUAUUCACAAUGGAAAAAUCAGGUAAUAAACCUAAAUGUCCACCAAUGACAGACUAGAUAAAGAAAAUGUGGUACACAUACACCAUGGAAUGCUAUGCAGCUAUUAAAAAGCAUGAGAUCAUGUUCUUUGCAGGGACAUGAAUGGAGCUGGAGGCCAUUAUCCUUAGCAAACUAACACAGAAACGGAAAACCAAAUACUGCAUGUUCUCACUUAAGCAGAGCUAAAUAAGGAGAACACAUGGAUGCAUAAAGAGGAACGACACACUCUGGGGCCUACCAGAGGGUGGAGGGUGGGAGGAGGGAAGAGGAUCAGGAAAAACAACUAAUGGGUACUAGGCUUAAUAUGUUGGUGAUGAAAUAAUCUGUACAAUGAACCCCCAUGACACAAGUUUACCUAUAUGACAAACCUGCACUUGUACUCCUGAACUUAAAACAUAAGUCAAAAAAAAAUGAGAGUUCUGAUAUUUUAAUUACUUUUCAAAACUAUUUAUGGCCAUGUGACCUUUAUGAUUAUAUUUCUUUCAAUGGAAUAUCCAGUUAGUUUUUUUUUUAAUCUCCCUGACUUUAGCUUUUAAAAAUCCCCCAAUAUUAUAAUAUUUCUAAAAUAAAAUUUAUAAGAAAGUAAUGUGGAAUUAAACAGAGAACUUGCCCGGGCGCAGUGGCUCACGCCUGUAAUUCCAGCACUUUGGGAGGCCGAGGCGGGCAGAUCACGAGGUCAGGAGAUCGAGACCAUCCUGGCUAACACUGUGAAACCCUGUCUCUACUAAAAAUACAAAAAAUUAGCCAGGUGUGGUGGCGGGCACCUGUAGUCCCAGCUACUUGGGAGGCUGAGGCAGGAGAAUGGCGUGAACCUGGGAGGUGGAGCUUGCAGUGAGCCAGGAUUGCACCACUACACUCCAGCCUGGGUGACAGAGCAAGACUCCGUCUCAAAAACAAACAAACAAAAAAACAGAGAACUUACUAGCGAAUGUAAUCAAAG
rnacentral:lncRNA from 10 species